GGGGGUAUAGCUCAGUGGUAGAGCAUUUGACUGCAGAUCGAGGGGUCCCUGGGUCAGGUGGCUCCU
rnacentral:tRNA from 1 species